GGGAGAGAGAGAGAGAGAGAGAGGGAUGCAGUGGAGAGGAGGAUCAAAGCCACUACAGCGACGAGCGAGGAUGAAACCAACAGUGAGUCUCUUUCUACUCCAAACCCCAGUGGACCCCCUCUGUGUGUGUGUGUGUGUGUGUGUGUGAGUGUGUGUGUCGGGGUUUGAUAGCCGGGCAUCGACCUUUGGAGUGUGUGGGAUUGUGUGUGUGUGUGUGUGUAUAGUGGCGUUCGUGUUGAGCGUUAUCGUUGCGAUGUGUGUGUGUGUCGUGACUCAUUUAGCAAGAGACUCGAUGUGAACAAAUGUCCACACACACCUGUAGCCUCACACCUGAGUACUCGUCCUUCCUCAGGUAGACUGCUCAGCUCGCAGAAGAUAAAUCCUAAUUCCACAGGCUGGCUGCUGUGGCUUCAACAGGUUUUCUCAGAUAUGAUGUAAGAGACCACAGGAUGUGGACUCUGGAGGACCAGAUGAUGUGGACCGUGGAGGACCAGAGGAGGUGACUCUGAUUGGACGCUGCACCAUCAUGAUUGAGGAGUCCGAGUGUUGGAGGUUCGGGUGGAGGCUUGGGUCUGCUCUGAUGUUCUUCUGAACAGCGUGGGCACAGAUUGCUGCGUACGUUUGGCUGCUCUCACUGCGUGGGGGUGAUGGGUGGAGGGAUCGGCCUCCGGGGGGCGCCAUGCUCCCGUCCAGCGACUCCGGCGCCGCUGCCCGCUCCGCCCGCUGCAGAGAGAGAGGACGAAGGGACGAGGGACGUCGCAGCGCUCCGAUCCGCAGAGAUUUACUGCGCCGGGCUUCACAAGCAGCCUCCGCUCCUCCAUCAACCGGCCGAGAUCACCGUUCGAUGCCCGCGGCGGUCAGAGACUCUGAUUCGUCCCUGAUGGACAGAACGCGUCUCCCGGGUCAGUGAGGCGGGGAGACACGCACCACUAAAGAUUGAUAGCCACGAGCUGAAGUAGAGGCAGCAGGUUAUUGAACACCUCUUAGUCCAUAGAACGGUUCCCUUUGAGGUUGAAAUACAACCUGGUGGUUUUCUUCCUAAUAUCAACUUGAAGUGUGUUUAAUCUUGACCUCUGCUGGUGCAUUGCAGCGUGUUGAUUAGUGGGAAAGAUGAUGGAGACUUUAACAGGUGUUCAAUGUGGAAGUGCAACAAAAAACAGACUAAAUAACAGAGAGAAGCUGUUGUGUCCGAUUAAUAUCAGCAUCCUUAUAACCUUCCCCCUUCGAGUAGGAAUUGACAUUGUUUCCUAAAGACAGCUGAAUCAAGUCGACAAAAAUAAAACGUUUUCAGAGCUUCAAUUUGAAUUUGAAAUAUUUCUACUUUCUUGCCGUCUGACACGUGCGAUAUUGCAUCUUACACAACAAGAAAAAAGGUCAAAUGCCAAUUUUAAUUUUCUUUUUCCGUAUGAUGGAGGAAAAAAAAAAUCUAUAUUGGAAAAUCAUCAUUUGCUUGUUCUCACAUUGC
ensembl:lncRNA